UACGUAGGAGGCAAGCGUUGUCCGGAAUUACUGGGCGUAAAGCGCGUGUAGGUGGUGGGACAAGUCUGCUGUGAAAGCGCCUGGCUUAACCGGGCGAGGUCGGCGGAAACUGUCCGACUCGAGGACGGUAGAGGGGGGUGGAAUUCCCGGUGUAGUGGUGAAAUGCGUAGAGAUCGGGAGGAACACCUGUGGCGAAAGCGGCUCACUGGACCACAACUGACGCUGAGGCGCGAAAGCUAGGGGAGCAAACAGGG
rnacentral:rRNA from 1 species